rnacentral:rRNA from 1 species
UGGGGAAUCUUCCGCAAUGGACGAAAGUCUGACGGAGCAACGCCGCGUGAGUGAAGAAGGUUUUCGGAUCGUAAAACUCUGUUUUCAGGGACGAAUGUGCGAUAUGUGAAUAAUGUGUUGUAAUGACGGUACCUGACAAGAAAGCCACGGCUAACUACGUGCCAGCAGCCGCGGUAAUACGUAGGUGGCAAGCGUUGUCCGGAAUUAUUGGGCGUAAAGCGCGCGCAGGUGGGAUAAUAAGUCUGAUGUUAAAGUUCGGGGCUCAACCCCGUGAAGCAUUUGGAUACUGUUAUUCUUGAGUGCAGGAGAGGAAAGUGGAAUUCCUAGUGUAGCGGUGAAAUGCGUAGAUAUUAGGAGGAACACCAGUGGCGAAGGCGACUUUCUGGACUGUGUCUGACACUGAGGCGCGAAAGCCAGGGUAGUGAACG